rnacentral:lncRNA from 1 species
AAAACAAUCCUCCUCCCACCAAAAAGAAGUACAUUAUAAAGAAAACUAGGAACAAGAUUUAUUCAGAAAAAAAUUUAUAGACUUGACAAUAUUUAACUCCCAACUCAGGCUAACAUAAAUUAAUAAAUUACCCCAGAAAAAGAUACUUCAGGACAGACAUUAAGAAAUUAUCAGAAAGGAAUUCCUGGGGAGGAACAGUGGUACAUCUUAAUGUGGGAUUAUAGGUAACUUUACAUUUUAGAUAGAUUUCCCCAUCCAGGCUUCUCAGGUGAAGCAUGCCACCUGGUUGGCUGGAAUUUCAUAAGCACUGGUAAUGGACAGAGGGUAUGACUACUACAUGUCUGUUACCUGGAGACGGGAGGUUUUCCCUCUAGAACUACCUGCUACACCCCAGCAGUGAAAACCCUCUGUACUGUGGGAAGGGGACUACAGUAUGCUCUCAGUAUAUUCUUACUCCUCUUUAGUGAGGAAAGCAGGGCCAGCCAGCCAUUCACAUGAAUGACACAUGCUGAGAGUAGACAGCCAUUGAUUGGUCUUAGUGUUUGCUUUUUUUAAUACAACAAAGUGAAAACAUUGGGUAGAUCUUAAGGUUUAAAUCUAGCCUAACAACUGAAAUACCUGAAAUGACCUAAAAAUAGCAAUUAAGAAAAUAACAAUUCUAAGAUCAGCAAAAUGGAUGGUAAAAAGUGAGAGCAAUUCAAGCCCACUAUAUAAAGUCAGUCAGGACGACAGUCUAUUAUUCCACAGACAUUUAAAAGAGGUAUAGCUGUAAAAGAUAAACAGACAUUUCAAAAGACAGAACUGAAUGUAAUGGAACUAAAGAUUAGACUAGGCCAAAGUACUGUUUGUUUGUUUGUUUGUUUGUUUGUUUGUUUUAAACUAAGGAAGUGAAUACAUUACUUUAAAUAAUCACAAAAUAAUAAGUUGGAAGUGAGACAGACCAGUAAAAAGUAUUAAACCAGUAAAACCUAUUAGGAGUAUUAUCUAAUUUUCUAACAAGUUAGAAUAGGCUUAUUGUAGUUUCUAGAUGUUUAAGAAAUAAAAUCAUAAAUGCUGCUUUUCACCAAUUAUAUUUUAAGUCAAUGAGGGCUCCAUUCUAAAAAUCAAACAAAGGUCCUCAUUCCGGGUAGGUGGGAGCUGCAGAAUACAGUGUUGGCAAAGAGCUAACAACAAACAGAAAGAAUUACUUACAGUGACUCAGGAGCAGAGGGCUGUGUCCAGUAGAGGAGCCAUACCUCCGCAGGAACAGGACAGAACCCUUAGUACUAACUGCACUAACCAGAACCUUACUCACAUUUGCUUUAAUUAUGUUUGCUAAUGAUUUUGUAGGCUUUUCAUAAUAUGAUAAGCAACUACUUAAAACUUAACUCAAAUUUAUAUUGGGAAAGCAGGUAUGAACCAUUUCUCAAGCAGAAAUGAAAGGCCUUGCUACUAUUUUCAUCUGUAUAUGGCUGAAAAAAUUGUCACUGGAAUAAAAAUGCAAAGUAAAGAUGCAGAAAGAAAUCAGUGUAAAUAUAUUUUAUUUCUAUGGCUUUAUAAUUUAUAAAACCUAUAACAAACAUAUUACAAACAGAAGAUAAUUUCACAAGUUGCAAGAUACAUAGUUACUUAAAAUCUCUAGAUUCCAACAGUGAUGGAAAUUUAAAAAGCAUCCACACACACAUAUAGAUAUAUAUACACACACAUACAUGUAUAUAUAUAUUUAAAAUGUUAUAUAACUAUAUUAGAAUAAUUUAAGAAAUAUACUAAAAUAGAAGGUUUAAUGAAGGAGCUAAAUUUAAAAUAUGAGUAUGCUCCCAUGAGACCUAUCUUGAAGAAAAUGCUAUAAACACAGAAAGACCUCACAUCAUUCACUACUGGUUGUGUGAUCUCUUAGCAAUCACUUUCAGCUUCCAUUCACCGUCUAUAAAGUAGCUAUAAUACUUAACAGAAUUACUGUGAAGAUCAGGUUGAAUAAUACAUAAGAACUCAUAUCUAAAGUAAUGCCAGCAUAUGGUAUUUGUAUGUAAAUGGUUUUAUUAUAAUAUCAUUUGUGAUACCAAGCUUAUGCUUUAUGUAAUUUGAGAGAAUUGUGAUAAGUUAUCCAGGAAAGUAAGCAGGGAAAGCUACUGUAAAUUUUAGAGGGGAAAAUACAGGGCUUUGCCCUUCAAGUCCUUAAGGCAUGAUAACUGUGCAACCUAUCUAAAUCUUCUGUAGUGCUGAAUUCAAGAAAGUUAAGACUAGCUAGGUAUCUGGAUGGAAGUAUUUAGAAGCUGCUCAUAGGAAGACUGCAUUAGUAUAGAGAUAGGUACUAGGUCCACUUUUCAUCAAGUAAUGCAGUUUAUUUGUAAAUGAAACUGUUAAGCAUAAACGUAAUAAGACUAUGAUUUUUACCCUAGUCAUGGUGCCAGGAAUGUUCUGGCAGUGAACAUUGACAAGUUACAUUAACCAAACUUAAACUGAAAAACCAUAAAAAUAAAAAUAAACAAGGACAGAAGGUGGAAUAAAAAAGCAGUUGCUAUUUCGUAGAGUUUUUUGUUUUGUUUUUGUUUUUAAUUUUUACUUUAGUUUAGUUUUUCAAGACGGGGUUUCUCUGUGUAACCCUGGCUGUCCUGGAGCUCUAUAGACCAGGCUGGCCUCAAACUCUAGGAGAGCUGCCUGCCUCUGCCUCCCAAGUGCUGGCAUUAAAGGUGUGUGCUUGGCUUGUUUUUAUUAAUAUUUUUAAGUGGGUGCAAAAUCUUUAGGCUUCCUGUUCUUCUUGUGCAUAGAAUAAAGUGAUAGGUUG